CUACCCUCCCCUUAUUCUGUUUCAUCAGAUCUUUUUGCGUUUUCUCAUUGUUCAUGAACGCAUUACUUCACGAUUAAGUCGGAGACGUCGAUUAUCCGUGAGAGUUGUCACCACAGUUCUCAAAAAAACAAAUUAGCCAGCAAUUGCCAGUCGCACCCAGUGUCGUGGUGUCUUCGCCUCUCGCCAUUUCUUUCGUCAACCGUGGACCUACCUGCUCCCAUUUAUUCUUCACGCUGCGUGCGAAGUCCCUACGAAGGACAUAACCAAUUUUAUAUGAAUUUGAAUAUCCAUUCAGAUUUUUUACCAUCAGUGGAGAGUCGUGGAGGUUGUUUAGCUGUUGUGUUCCAACCCCAGAAAACGACAUCGUGCAUGUUGACUUCCAAACCUUGCCAUCUGGCAAAUCAGAG